rnacentral:rRNA from 1 species
UACGUAGGGGGCAAGCGUUGUCCGGAUUUAUUGGGCGUAAAGAGCGUGUAGGCGGCCUUACAGGUCAGCUGUGAAAACUCGAGGCUCAACCUCGAGACGUCGGUUGAAACCGUAAGGCUAGAGUCCGGAAGAGGAGAGUGGAAUUCCCGGUGUAGCGGUGAAAUGCGCAGAUAUCGGGAAGAACACCCGUGGCGAAGGCGGCGCUCUGGGACGGUACUGACGCUGAGACGCGAAAGCGUGGGGAGCGAACAGG